GACAGAGGCCUCAAGCGUUAGGCGGAAUCACUGGGCUUAAAGCGUGUGUAGGCGGAUCGUUAAGUGCCUUGUGAAAUCCCACGGCUUAACUGUGGAACGGCUGGGCAUACUGGCGGUCUUGAGCCAUCUAGGGGCGACUGGAACAAACGGUGGAGCGGUGAAAUGCGUAGAUAUCGUUUGGAACGCCAAUGGUGAAAACAGGUCGCUGGGGAUGAGCUGACGCUGAGGCGCGAAAGCUAGGGGAGCAAACGGG
rnacentral:rRNA from 1 species